UGGUCUUUGAAAACAGUAGAAGUACAGUGUUAAGUUCCACUAUAGAAAAGAUUACAUAACAUUUGGUAUUAAAAAAUAGCAUAAAACCACCAAGCAAAAUAUGACAUAAUGCACUCCCACAUCGUCUCCCUACUCAUGACUUUAAUACCAUAAAAGUAAUUUGCUCUACGUUCUCUAUUUUCUAGAACAGGAAACACUAGAGCUCUGGAUUGACGCCUUUGCCCCAAAUAGACACUGGAUUCAUAUGUUGAAGACUUAACCCACAAUGUGAUGGUACUUGGAGAUGAGGCCUUUGGGAGAAAUAGCAAGACAGUGAACAUUUUGUAAGCCAAGAGAGCGCUCACCAGAAACUGAUCAUGAUGGCAUCUUUAUCUCUGACUUCAGCCUUCAGAACUGUG